ensembl:lncRNA
AUCCUUGUCCCCCAGCUGCACCGAGAAGACACUGAAUUUCUCCUGUUGAAGUAAGAGACUUGGCUUCAUUGAAGAUCUUGUGCUUGAAUGCGGUCUUCCACCUCUCAAACAACUUGUUGGAUGUUUUAGCAUUGAACAGCAGAGCAAAGUCCUGAUUUACCUAAUGAUUAAUAAUCGUAUAUUUCAAGAUAUAAGAGAGAAAUAGUUGGUAUAUAUUGUAACCUUAGUUUUGACAGGUAUAGGUCAAAGGUCAAAAAGAUACACAUUCUAACUCUCUAUAUCUAGAUCAAAGGUCAUGAUCAUAAAAAUAUUUAUAGUUAUGUUAAAUCUGGAUCACAUCCAUUCGUUACCAUACAUGGUGCGGCCAUGUGUUUUCCACCCCACACACGUUGCACACAUGUUCUUUCUAACACUCUGUGGUAGGUCAUAAAAUAUAUAUAGUUAUGUUAAAUCUGGAUCACAUCCAUUCGUGACACAAACGUUACCAUACCUGGUAUGGCCAUAUGUUUUCCACCCACACAAGUUGCACACACAUGUUCUUUCUAACACUCUGUGGUAGGUCAUAAAAAUAUAUAUAGUUAUGUUAAAUCGGGUUCCCAUCUAUUCCUGACACAAACGUUACUAGUUAUGUUAAAUCGGGUUCCCGUCCAUUCCUGACACAAAUGUUACUAUACAUGGUACGGCCAUGUGUAUUACACAUCCAAACAAAAAUAUGACACACACAAACGCACUUUAUUUUCACAUUAUUUAAAAGGAAUUUAAGAGUUUUGUACUAAAUUACCAUAAUUAUGAACACAAGUUGUUAAGUUGA